rnacentral:tRNA from 1 species
AGGCACGUAGCUCAGUUGGUUAGAGCACCACCUUGACAUGGUGGGGGUCGUUGGUUCGAAUCCAAUCGAGCCUACCA